rnacentral:rRNA from 1 species
CUGCAACUCGACUACAUGAAGCUGGAAUCGCUAGUAAUCGCGAAUCAGAAUGUCGCGGUGAAUACGUUCCCGGGUCUUGUACACACCGCCCGUCACACCAUGGGAGUCAGUAACGCCCGAAGCCGGUGACCCAACCAAUUCAGGAGGGAGCCGUCGAAGGUGGGACCGAUAACUGGGGUGAAGUCGUAACAAGGUAUC